GCGACGGCCUACACAUGCAAGUCGAGGGGUAACAUGAGUAGCUUGCUACUUGAUGACNACCGGCGCACGGGUGAGUAACGCGUAUGCAACCUUUCUUCAACAGGAGAAUAGCCCCCGGAAACGGGGAUUAAUGCUCCAUGAUGCUAUUUUAUUGCAUGAUAGAAUAGUUAAAGCUGAGGCGGUUGAAGGUGGGCAUGCGUGACAUUAGCUUGUUGGCGGGGUAACGGCCCACCAAGGCGACGAUGUCUAGGGGUUCUGAGAGGAAGGUCCCCCACACUGGUACUGAGACACGGACCAGACUCCUACGGGAGGCAGCAGUGAGGAAUAUUGGUCAAUGGACGCAAGUCUGAACCAGCCAUGUCGCGNGCAGGAAGACGGCCCUACGGGUUGUAAACUGCUUUUGUACGGGAAGAAAAUGUCUUACGUGUAAGACUUUGCCGGUACCGUGCGAAUAAGCAUCGGCUAACUCCGNGCCAGCAGCCGCGGUAAUACGGAGGAUGCGAGCGUUAUCCGGAAUUAUUGGGUUUAAAGGGUGCGUAGGCGGAAUGGUAAGUCAGCGGUGAAAUACUGCAGCUCAACUGUAGUUGUGCCGUUGAUACUGUCAUUCUUGAGUAUAGAUGAGGUAGGCGGAAUGAGUAGUGUAGCGGGUGAAAUGCAUAGAUAUUACUCAGAACACCGGAUUGCGAAGGCAGCUUACUAAACUAUAACUGACGCUGAAGCACGAAAGCGUGGGUAUCAAACAGGAUUAGAUACCCUGGUAGUCCACGCUGUAAACGAUGGUUACUGGGUUGUUUGGGCGAAAGAACUCAAGGCGACUGCGCNNAAAGCAUUAAGUAAUCCACCUGGGGGAGUACGUCGGCNACGAUGAAACUCAAAGGAAU
rnacentral:rRNA from 1 species